CAACACUUUGUAAAGUGGUAUCACCAAUAGUAAUCCAGUAUUAUCUUCCUGAUUUGUUUAACAUGGCUAUUUGUAACAACUUAUAAUAAUACUUUUGGGUUUCUUUUGGUUUUUGUUUUGGUUCAAGUCUCAUCUCAAAAU